rnacentral:lncRNA from 1 species
AUGGAUGGGUUUUGCCAUGUUGCCCAGGCUGGUCUCGAACUCCUGGACUCAAGAGAUCUGCCUGCCUUAGCCUUUCAAAGCGCUGAGAUUACAGAUGCUAAGCACUGUGGCUGCACUUGUGCAGGGGUCUGCAGAUGGCCUUGCCACGAAACAAGAAUCCUCAGAAGCCCCCAGGAAGAUUGGGAACUACUGAGACAAUGCAGGCCCGAAUGGAUUGCUGCUCUACUCCUCCCCAAGUCAUUUGCAAAUGGCACAAGAACAAAGACAAAAGAAAAGGAUGAGAAAAGAGAAAUUCCCAGAGCUUGAAAAUGGGGGCUCAGUUUUCGUCUGCAAAGUGGGUUAAGAAAUGGAGAACUGUAACACCACGUAGAAAGUGUCUGUAUUUCCUGUGUCACUUCUCUAUUUGAAGUUUUCUGUAAGGGGGGAAGAUCCAUGGAGAAUCAAUAUGUGUGGGUUGUUGUUCCCACUUAAUCUUCACGAUAGCACUGUAAUGUGGCUCUCUAUUCCCAUUUCACAAUCCAGAACACUGAGACCCAGAGCCAUUCAGAAUUUCCCAAGAUUGUGGAGUUUAGGUGGAAACAAACUCCACUGUGUGACUCCAGUGUUGCUACUGACAUGACCCUGCUCUGCCUUCCCCACCUUUCAGAUGAGGACAUUUCCUUUGUUUUCUGUGGGAUGAUUUUUAGGAGGGGGCUAUGAUAGCCUGUUCUCUCUGGGGGGACAUCAGAGUUGGAAGGAGAUCAGCAAGGGACCCCCCUUUCCAAGCUGCAGCCAGCAGUUCUUGGAGUUCAGGAAGAAGUUCUAGUUCACCCUUAUUCUCUGUUGGCUUUCUCCCUUGUUUCCUCAUUACAAUAAGCCAACACAACCGUUGUCUGUCCCUAACCCAUCUCCUAGUCCUGCCUGAAUGUCUUUGUCCCCCCAAAUUUAUAUUUGAAAUCCUAAGCCCCAAGAUUAUAAAAUUAGAAAGUGAAGCCUUUGGACAGUGAUGAGAUCAUGAGGACAGAACCUUCCUUAAUGGGAUGGAUGAGUGCCCUUGUAAAAGAGACCCAAGGGCACUCACUCAUCCCUUCUACCAUGUGUGAACACAGUGAGAAAGUGCCAUCUAUGAAACAGAAAGCUGGCUCUCACCAGACACCAGCUCUGCCAGCACCUUGAUAUUGAACUUCCCAGCCUCCAGAACUGUGAGAAAUAAAUGCUGUUUGUAAGCCACACAGUUUAUGGUAUUUUUCUAUUUGAAUAUCAUCCCAGAUGGACUAAGAUGACCCCUAAUACCCAUGACUACCCAUUUCCUUACAAUUUUCAACAAUGAAAAGGUAGAAAUAAAGAUUUAGGAAGUACGUCAGGUAGGACUUCCUGACUCUAAGGAGGCUCUGGAGCAUGCAGGUAAGGAAUUCCAAGAUGCUGUUGUAUAUCCUUUCUCAGGAAAGCUAUAAGGCAAAGGGAUACCCUUCCCCCACCUGGCCUACUUGGACUGGGCACACUUCUGCCUAGAGGCAGGGGGAGGCAACAAAUGACCUCCAGAGGGCCCUGCUAGUCCAGGAAGCUGGAACCUUUGGUGCAGCCACUGCUUGGCCGCAGAUGUUCUCUGUCAUCAAUCACACAGUGCAUCUGUUUGCUGUGCCGCUUGUUUAAAGAGUGAGACGUUUGCUAAUUGAAAACUAAAAGAUUCAUCCGUCUCACUCACAGCCAGCAUGAAAUC